GGGCACUGUCGUUUUAAGCAUUCCCAUAACCUCUUUGUCUCCUCUCUCUUUUGUGUUUUUUUUUUAACUUAAAGGAGAGCUAAAGGUUAAAACUGGCGAAUGAAGUAUAAGAAGCAUUGCUACUGACGACACAAGAAAUUGGUUGAACUAUUUUAUAUAUCUAAAUCUGUGAAGCUAGCAUAAAAUAACCGAUGAGGCAUUGUUUCAUACUAAC
rnacentral:lncRNA from 1 species